UGAAUGCCAUUGACCAAGAAAGUAGGAAUUACCUCUGUAGGCUAGAGAGGGAAAGACUGGGCUGAAAUCUUUCCUGCUGCAUGUAAGGACGAACAACACUUGAGAGGCUCUUUUUCGAAAAACAGCAAAUGUCUAGUAGGGAAAGACGGAGACGGCCGUUAUCCGUUUACGAGAGGAUGCACUAAUUUUUUCGGAUUGAUGUACGUCAAUUUUUCGAAGUCCGGAAAAGAAAAAGGCAUCAAUUCACCAUUUAUGGUCGAAUUGUGUUUUUUUAUGCAUCAACUAGGGUGGAACCGCGGAAGUAAUUAUAAGCUUUCGUCCCUUGC
rnacentral:ncRNA from 1 species